GACGAACGCUGGCGGCGCGCCUAACACAUGCAAGUCGAACGGAGCUGAGAGGAGCUUGCUUUUCUUAGCUUAGUGGCGAACGGGUGAGUAACGCGUGAGUAACCUGCCCUGGAGUGGGGGACAACAGUUGGAAACGACUGCUAAUACCGCAUAAGCCCACGGUACCGCAUGGUACUGAGGGAAAAGGAUUUAUUCGCUUCAGGAUGGACUCGCGUCCAAUUAGCUAGUUGGUGAGGUAACGGCCCACCAAGGCGACGAUUGGUAGCCGGACUGAGAGGUUGAACGGCCACAUUGGGACUGAGACACGGCCCAGACUCCUACGGGAGGCAGCAGUGGGGGAUAUUGCACAAUGGGGGAAACCCUGAUGCAGCGACGCCGCGUGGAGGAAGAAGGUUUUCGGAUUGUAAACUCCUGUCGUUAGGGACGAUAAUGACGGUACCUAACAAGAAAGCACCGGCUAACUACGUGCCAGCAGCCGCGGUAAAACGUAGGGUGCAAGCGUUGUCCGGAAUUACUGGGUGUAAAGGGAGCGCAGGCGGACCGGCAAGUUGGAAGUGAAAUCCAUGGGCUCAACCCGUGAAUUGCUUUCAAAACUGCUGGCCUUGAGUAGUGCAGAGGUAGGUGGAAUUCCCGGUGUAGCGGUGGAAUGCGUAGAUAUCGGGAGGAACACCAGUGGCGAAGGCGACCUACUGGGCACCAACUGACGCUGAGGCUCGAAAGCAUGGGUAGCAAACAGGAUUAGAUACCCUGGUAGUCCAUGCCGUAAACGAUGAAAAAAGGGGUUGGAGGAUUGACCCCUUCAGUGCCGCAGUUAACACAAUAAGUAAUCCACCUGGGGAGUACGACCGCAAGGUUGAAACUCAAAGGAAUUGACGGGGGCCCGCACAAGCAGUGGAGUAUGUGGUUUAAUUUGAAGCAACGCGAAGAACCUUACCAGGUCUUGACAUCCGAUGCAUAGUGCAGAGAUGCAUGAAGUCCUUCGGGACAUCGAGACAGGUGGUGCAUGGUUGUCGUCAGCUCGUGUCGUGAGAUGUUGGGUUAAGUCCCGCAACGAGCGCAACCCUUAUUGCCAGUUACUACGCAAGAGGACUCUGGCGAGACUGCCGUUGACAAAACGGAGGAAGGUGGGGAGGACGUCAAAUCAUCAUGCCCUUUAUGACCUGGGCUACACACGUACUACAAUGGCGUUUAACAAAGAGAAGCAAGACCGCGAGGUGGAGCAAAACUCAGAAACAACGUCUCAGUUCAGAUUGCAGGCUGCAACUCGCCUGCAUGAAGUCGGAAUUGCUAGUAAUCGCGGAUCAGCAUGCCGCGGUGAAUAAGUUCCCGGGCCUUGCACU
rnacentral:rRNA from 1 species